UACGGGGGGGGCAAGCGUUGUUCGGAAUUACUGGGCGUAAAGGGCCCGUAGGCGGCCAACUAAGUCGGAUGUGAAAUCCCCAGGCUCAACUUGGGAACUGCAUCCGAUACUGGAUGGCUUGAAUUCGGGAGAGGGAUGCAGAAUUCCAGGUGUAGCGGUGAAAUGCGUAGAUGUCAAGAGGAACACCUGCGGCGAAGGCGGCAUUCUGGACUACAACUGACACUGAGGAACGAAAGCCAGGGGAGCAAACGGG
rnacentral:rRNA from 1 species